UAGGGAAUAUUGCAAAAUGGGCGAAAGCCCGAUGCAGCAACGCCGCGUGGGCGAUGAAGGCCUUCGGGUCGUAAAGCCCUUUUUGAGGGGAUGAGGAAGGACAGUACCCUCAGAAUAAGCCUCGGCUAACUACGUGCCAGCAGCCGCGGUAAAACGUAGGAGGCGAGCGUUAUCCGGAUUUACUGGGCGUAAAGCGCGUGCAGGCGGAUUGGAGAGUUGGAUGUGAAAGCUCCCGGCUUAACUGGGAGAGGUCGUUCAAUACUUCCAGUCUUGAGUGCAGUAGAGGGAAGUGGAAUUCCGGGUGUAGUGGUGAAAUGCGUAGAUAUCCGGAGGAACACCAGUGGCGAAAGCGGCUUCCUGGACUGCAACUGACGCUCAGACGCGAAAGCUAGGGUAGCAAAC
rnacentral:rRNA from 1 species